CGGAGUAAAACUAUAAAUUGACCUAGUCAACGUGGGGCAUGUUGUGAGUAAUGGAUAUGUGGGUCAUUUAAACGCAACAUUGACGAUUGUCAAGAAGACUUACAGCAUUGCAGCACAGGAAAAAGGUUCAACAUAAACACACGCCCAGAGGGACUACUACUUCGCCUGAAUGGCAGUCUACUCUGUCACGCCAAUAUUGUUGGGAAGAGCACAGAUCUGGGACCAGGCUAACUUCAACAUUCCUUACUGAGGCUCCCAGGAUGAUGAAGAUGUGGGAGUCAGAUGGAUGGGAGAGCUCUCUUCUCAGCCGUCCAAAUACCUCAGAAAGGGACCUGAGCCCUAGGACCAUGCCUCAGGACAAUCUGGUAUGAUGACUCCUUGCUGUCCCCAGUCCACCUGGCCGUGCUGCUGCUCCAGUUUCAACUGUUCUGCCUGCGG